GAUGAACGCUGGCGGCGUGCCUAAUACAUGCAAGUCGAGCGAACAGACGAGGAGCUUGCUCCUCUGACGUUAGCGGCGGACGGGUGAGUAACACGUGGAUAACCUACCUAUAAGACUGGGAUAACUUCGGGAAACCGGAGUUAAUACCGGAUAAUAUAUUGAACCGCAUGGUUCAAUAGUGAAAGACGGUUUUGCUGUCACUUAUAGAUGGAUCCGCGCCGCAUUAGCUAGUUGGUAAGGUAACGGCUUACCAAGGCAACGAUGCGUAGCCGACCUGAGAGGGUGAUCGGCCACACUGGAACUGAGACACGGUCCAGACUCCUACGGGAGGCAGCAGUAGGGAAUCUUCCGCAAUGGGCGAAAGCCUGACGGAGCAACGCCGCGUGAGUGAUGAAGGUCUUCGGAUCGUAAAACUCUGUUAUUAGGGAAGAACAAAUGUAUAAGUAACUAUGCACGUCUUGACGGUACCUAAUCAGAAAGCCACGGCUAACUACGU
rnacentral:rRNA from 1 species